CGGCUGGCAUGUGGCCACGUCAUACAUCUCAUGGAUUAGGGCAUUGUCUUCAUGGGCGCUCCUCUUCCGGGCGCUGCGAUGACGGCCAAUCUCUCCGCGCAUUGCUGCUUGUGCUCGCCGUCGGUGGCCAAGAGGAGGACGCUUCCGGGAAGAAUUCUCAUCGUUCGAGCUCAAUCUGUGGAUGCGCCUUCCUCUGGUUCAUCCGGAAGGCUCCAAUCUCUUGUAGCAGCACCUCUCAAACUGGCUAGCCGUGUUGCGGCUGCUCCUGUCAACUUGGCCGCGGCUGCAGGAGCUGUGGCUACCGUGUGUGUGCUUCUUUUGAUCAGAGAAUUUGUGCGAUCACGCAACGAGGUGGGAGGCUCCGUGUCAGAUCUGAUCAGGAGAGGACAGCUACGAUCCGAUAGAAACGUCAGGCCCGACUCGAGACCUUUGAAAUACGAGGAUCCUUUCAACAAUCCUCUGGUAAAGAUCGGCAGUAAGAAUCCGAUCGUGAGAAUGUGCGGCAAAAUCUUCAGGCUAACUCCAGUGACUUUGACGGAGGAGAAAGUCGUGAGCCACCAGAACAGGAGGAUACAAGCUUAUCAUUGGAGGAGGCCCGUUGUGUUCCUUAACGAGGGAGACCCUGUGCCCGAGGGUGUAGACCCGGAAGAAGUAAGGUGGAUACCAUCAAACCACCCGUUCGCCACCACCCAAGACUAUAUUGACGAAGAGCUGGCGCAAAAGAACGUGUACCAGACCCGUGGCGUUCCGUCCCGCGUAAGAGCCGAGCACGAGGCCCUUCGGAAGAAGAUGAAAGAAUCAGUCCAAAAGGCCCGAGAGGAUACUAUCCAAGAUAAGACUUUAUCUCCUCCCAGCGAUCGCGAUCAUCUGGAAAGCAGCCAGAUUCUUCCGUGAGGCAGCAAAGCGAGGUGAAGUGAGGCGUCGAAGUGGGAAUAGAAUUUCGUCUGUUACUUUGGUCGAGGUGAAGUGGUGUUCGUGGGAGUUGCCAGCAGCAUGUCCAGGUGUUUGUGGUCGCUCAUGAGACUUGGCUUUGUCUGGAAGAGUCAAAAGCGCACUAGCCAUGAUACUGAUGGAUGGAGAACUUUGGGCAGUGAUAGCUAUUAUAUUCCAGCACUGGGAAGGGGAAUGCACUGUUCUGAACGGCCUCUCUCAACCAACCCGGCUCUAGUGUCCAUUGCGAGUGACGCGAGGCAGCUCUGGUGUGUGGUGCUGCUAGUGGCAUUGGUGGGGUACUGGAAAGAAAGCUAUCCUGGAUGUGACACCCGGGUCUUAACAUAUCUGCUGCCAAUA